CUACGACGGGUACGGGUUGUGAGAGCAAGAGCCCGGAGAUGGAUUCUGAGACACGAAUCCAGGCCCUACGGGGUGCAGCAGGCGCGAAAACUUUACAAUGCCGGCAACGGCGAUAAGGGGACCUCGAGUGCCAGGUUACAAAUCUGGCUGUCGUGAUGCCUAAAAAGCAUUGCAUAGCAAGGGCCGGGCAAGACCGGUGCCAGCCGCCGCGGUAACACCGGCGGCUCGAGUGGUAACCGUUAUUAUUGGGUCUAAAGGGUCUGUAGCCGGCCGGAUAAGUCUCUUGAGAAAUCCAGCAGCUCAACUGUCAGGCUUUCAGGAGAUACUGUCUGGCUCGAGGCCGGGAGAGGUGAGAGGUACUUCAGGGGUAGGGGUGAAAUCUUGUAAUCCUUGAAGGACCACCAGUGGCGAAGGCGUCUCACCAGAACGGACCUGACGGCAAGGGACGAAAGCUAGGGGCACGAACCGGAUUAGAUACCCGGGUAGUCCUAGCCGUAAACGAUACUCGCUAGGUGUCGGCCACGGUGCGACCGUUGUCGGUGCCGUAGGGAAGCCGUGAAGCGAGC
rnacentral:rRNA from 1 species